rnacentral:rRNA from 1 species
GCCYAGGAAUCUGCCUGGUAGUGGGGGAUAACGUUCGGAAACGAACGCUAAUACCGCAUACKUCCUACGGGAGAAAGCAGGGGACCUUCGGGCCUUGCGCUAUCAGAUGAGCCUAGGUCGGAUUAGCUAGUUGGUGAGGUAAUGGCUCACCAAGGCGACRAUCCGUAACUGGUCUGAGAGGAUGAUCAGUCACACUGGAACUGARACACGGUCCARACUCCUACGGGAGGCAGCAGUGGGGAAUAUUGGACAAUGGGCGAAAGCCUGAUCCAGCCAUGCCGCGUGUGUGAARAAGGUCUUCGGAUUGUAAAGCACUUUAAGUUGGGAGGAAGGGCAGUUACCUAAUACGUGAUUGUUUUGACGUUACCGACARAAUAAGCACCGGCUAACUCUGUGCCAGCAGCCGCGGUAAUACAGAGGGUGCAAGCGUUAAUCGGAAUUACUGGGCGUAAAGCGCGCGUAGGUGGUUUGUUAAGUUGGAUGUGAAAUCCCCGGGCUCAACCUGGGAACUGCAUUCAAAACUGACUGACUAGAGUAUGGUAGAGGGUGGUGGAAUUUCCUGUGUAGCGGUGAAAUGCGUAUAUAUAGGAAGGAACACCAGUGGCGAAGGCGACCACCUGGACUAAUACUGACACUG